GGGCGCAUAGCUCAGCGGUAGAGCGCUUGCCUUACAAGCAAGAUGUCACAGGUUCGAUUCCUGUUGCGCCCA
rnacentral:tRNA from 1 species